rnacentral:rRNA from 1 species
UACGUAGGGUGCAAGCGUUGUCCGGAAUUAUUGGGCGUAAAGAGCUCGUAGGCGGUUUGUUGCGUCGGCUGUGAAAUCCCGAGGCUCAACCUCGGGUCUGCAGUCGAUACGAGCAAACUAGAGUGUUGCAGGGGAGACUGGAAUUCCUGGUGUAGCGGUGAAAUGCGCAGAUAUCUGGAGGAACACCGGUGGCGAAGGCGGCAUCCUGGACCGAUAUUGACGCUGAGGCGCGAAAGCCAGGGGAGCAAACGGG